GACAGAGGUGCCAAGCGUUAGGCGGAAUCACUGGGCUUAAAGCGUGUGUAGGUGGAUUUGUAAGUACCUUGUGAAAUCCCAUGGCUCAACCAUGGAACUGCUCGGUAUACUGCGAAUCUUGAGCCACUUAGGGGCUACCGGAACAAAUGGUGGGGCGGUGAAAUGCGUAGAUAUCAUUUGGAACGCCAAUGGUGAAAACAGGUAGCUGGGAGUGUGCUGACACUGAGACACGAAAGCCAGGGGAGCGAACGGG
rnacentral:rRNA from 1 species